GAAAGCAUCCUGUAUCAUAACUACAUGUGUGCCGUUUGUAACAAACCAAACCGCGUGAAAAUCAGUUGAAAAUUCAGCGAGUUAUUCUAUUUUACUUGUGCAUACAGCUCCUUCCUCAAUAGAAGUGAAUGCACUGUGGAGGCGAAGCGAGACCCAUCCAAGAUGGCGGCCGGCGAGGACGCGCUCAGGCAGUCGAUGCGGCGGCUAUGUAUUUAUGUCUAUGUGUUUGAAGGCGAAAGAGAAGAGGAAAUGUAAAACGUCUCUGCAGGUGUGGACUCAGCAGGCUGUUCAUCUUGCUGAUUGGAUUCAGUACAGCUGCAGCCUAUUUAAAAUCACCUGUGCAAUGGACAAUGUAACAAACCUGAUAAAGCCAUGGGCGAAACGCGUUGUUUUGAAGACUGGAAGAUUUAAGAAGAUAAGAAGCAAUUCAGCCUCUUUGUGUGCGGUGAAUCGACUUUUCUGAUCUACUUGAUGUCUCCUGCCAUCACCUGCACCAAGGACUGAAAGUGCUGUGCACGGGACAUUUACUUUGGAAUACAUUUAGCUUACUUGAGCACUGGGUGGUGGAGGAGCAGUGAUGCUGCAGGACCACUGUGUGAGAGAGGACACUGCAGAUAAGUGCUGAGUUGACCUUGGUGAGACUUAAAACUUAACAAGCACAAGAACAACAGGGGGUUGCAAUGGAGCCUGAACUCACCCCGCAAUGAAACAACCCCCUUACCCUGAGUCUCAACUCUGUGGGUUUUGCAAGCCUUUCUCUGUUCCUUAUUUUUAAUAAACCAAACACUGAGCU